GGCUUGUCUGAUGGUAGUGGGUUAUCAGAACUUAGUAACAUUAGUGUCACUAAAGUUGGUAUACAACCCCCCACUGCUAAAUUAGACUGGCUAAAA
rnacentral:Y_RNA from 1 species